rnacentral:rRNA from 1 species
UACGUAGGGGGCAAGCGUUAUCCGGAUUUACUGGGUGUAAAGGGAGCGUAGACGGCUGUGCAAGUCUGAAGUGAAAGCCCGUGGCUCAACCGCGGAACUGCUUUGGAAACUGUAUAGCUUGAGUACUGGAGAGGCAGGCGGAAUUCCUAGUGUAGCGGUGAAAUGCGUAGAUAUUAGGAGGAACACCAGUGGCGAAGGCGGCCUGCUGGACAGAAACUGACGUUGAGGCUCGAAAGCGUGGGGAGCAAACAGG